UCUCCGUUGGUGAACCAGCGGAGGGAUCAUUACCGAGUUUACAACUCCCAAACCCAAUGUGAACGUUACCAAACUGUUGCCUCGGCGGGAUCUCUGCCCCGGGUGCGUCGCAGCCCCGGACCAAGGCGCCCGCCGGAGGACCAACCAAAACUCUUAUUGUAUACCCCCUCGCGGGUUUUUUUAUAAUCUGAGCCUUCUCGGCGCCUCUCGUAGGCGUUUCGAAAAUGAAUCAAAACUUUCAACAACGGAUCUCUUGGUUCUGGCAUCGAUGAAGAACGCAGCGAAAUGCGAUAAGUAAUGUGAAUUGCAGAAUUCAGUGAAUCAUCGAAUCUUUGAACGCACAUUGCGCCCGCCAGUAUUCUGGCGGGCAUGCCUGUCCGAGCGUCAUUUCAACCCUCGAACCCCUCCGGGGGGUCGGCGUUGGGGAUCGGCCCUGCCUUGGCGGUGGCCGUCUCCGAAAUACAGUGGCGGUCUCGCCGCAGCCUCUCCUGCGCAGUAGUUUGCACACUCGCAUCGGGAGCGCGGCGCGUCCACAGCCGUUAAACACCCAACUUCUGAAAUGUUGACCUCGGAUCAGGUAGGAAUACCCGCUGAACUUAA
rnacentral:rRNA from 2 species